GGAUAGCUCUGUUGGUUAGAACGUGGUGCUGAUAACGCCAAGGUUGCAGGUACAAACCCCGUAAGGGACA